rnacentral:rRNA from 1 species
AUGGUAGGAUAGAGGCCUACCAUGGUGGUAACGGGUAACGGGGUGUUAGGGCACGACACCGGAGAGGGAGCCUGAGAAACGGCUACCACAUCCAAGGAAGGCAGCAGGCGCGCAAAUUACCCAAUCCCGACACGGGGAGGUAGUGACAAUAAAUAACAAUACAGGGUUCUUUGAAUCUUGUAAUUGGAAUGAGUACAAUUUAAAUCUCUUAACGAGGAACAAUUGGAGGGCAAGUCUGGUGCCAGCAGCCGCGGUAAUUCCAGCUCCAAUAGCGUAUAUUAAAGUUGUUGCAGUUAAAAAGCUCGUAGUUGAAUUUCGGGAUCAAUACGUCGGUCGUGCUUUCGGGUACGUACUGGCGUCAUUGGUUUCUCCUUUCUGACGAACCAUGAUGUCAUUAAUUUGGUGUUAUGGGGAGUUAGGACUGUUACUUUGAAAAAAUUAGAGUGUUUAAAGCAGGCAUUAGCUUGAAUACAUUAGCAUGGAAUAAUGAAAUAGGACGUUCGAUCCUAUUUUGUUGGUUUCUAGGAUCAACGUAAUGAUUAAUAGGGAUAGUUGGGGGCAUUAGUAUUCAAUUGUCAGAGGUGGAAUUCUUGGAUUUAUUGAAGACUAACUACUGCGAAAGCAUUUGCCAAGGAUGUUUUCAAUAAUCAAGAACGAAAGUUAGGGGAUCGAAGACGAUCAGAUACCGUCGUAGUCUUAACCAUAAACUAUGCCGACUAGGGAUCGGAUGAUGUUAAUUUUUUAAUGACUCAUUCGGCGCCUUACGGGAAACCAAAGUGUUUGGG